rnacentral:antisense_RNA from 1 species
CUUCAGCGAGCCGAGCAGCAGGGGCCGUUCCGCGGGCCGGUUCUGCCCGUAGGUGGCGAGCAGGGCGCCGGCCUC